CCCCAUCCUCUUCGUGGUCGGCCACGGCGGCGUCCCUCCCUCCGCCCUCUGCCUUUGCCCCUCCUCUUCGUGCUAGCCCACACCCCACCCCAGCUGGUCGCCGCCCUUCGUCGUCGUCCUCGGUCACGGCGGCACCCCUCUGUCUUAUCCUUGCUCCGGUACAGGUACCGCCACCAGAUGGCCCGAUUCACCCCCGUCCACCCUCUCCCCCUGGCGGCGACCUCCACUGCGGACGCAGUUAGGGACUGCACAGGCUUCCCAACGAGCGCUGCCCCCCCCUGCUGCCCCCCUCUCUCUCUCUCUCCGACUGCCCCACUUUGACUUCGGAUGACAUUCAUAUGAUCCCGUCUUCCUUUGUUCAGCUAUUCUACAGAUGGACUGCACUAUGUAUCUUUUGUGUCUCAGGCAACAGGAACUAUGGUGAUGGUGUGGAGUGUGCACCAACAUUUUCAAAAUUGCAAGCCAGAUCUGCAACAACAAAGACUUGUUUUGCUGUGUUUCAUCGUAUUGCAAAAUACAGACAUUCCGAUAUUCUAUUAUAGCAAGUUCUUAAUGCAUUAUAUCAUCAUUACAAAUGAGUUCUGUGUUACACGAGCCAUGGUGAUAGAAUGCCCCAAAGAAAACGGGUUUAAUCUGCAGCACACUGUUUCAAUCUCUGCCCCAUUUUCAUUUUUCAGUCGCUAAGUAGAAGCCCAUAAUGCUAAAUUUAAUUCCUGAACAGAGUAUCUGAGUUUCUGCUUACGGAUUGUAUAUGUUACCUUUAUUCAAUAGACAAAGUUUGAGCGUAGUAGUGAAUGCGUGUUUGUCUUGAGUCUCUACCGAUUUGAGUUGUAAUACAUCAUGCUUGCAAUCUUGUUUUGUCUGUGGCUUUCUCCCACAUUAAUCAUUCUGAUGUGUUACCAGCUCUUCCCUUGGAUCUUCACGUGGACUUCGUGUGAACUCUUAAUUUUCUAAGACUAAGAAGAAAUUGAAUAGAAACUGCAACGGCAUAGCUAGUAGUAUCAGUUGCACUUCCAAUGGAAGUGAGCAUGCAGUUGGUGCUAAAGGUGAUGAUCUUUAAGCUGAUGUUGACUCUACCACAUGCCAUCAGUCUGAUCUGCCAUUGAACAUUGACAUUGGUAGCAAGAUGGUACUAAGUUGAAUUCCAUCUUAUUGCAAUAUUUGUGCUUUAUUGAACUGUUUUUUAUACUUGAGACUUUCAAUUUAUUCCUGUGCUUUGUUAGUUAAACACUUAUUUUUUAUCUUCUCAGUAGUUAACUUGUAUUGUUAGUACCAUACCUUGCUUUACUACAUGCCUACAUCAUUCUUGUGAUCAGUAAAAAACUCUUAUGCCACUAUUGACAUGCAGAAAAGUUUUAAUGGCUCAUCUCUAAUUAGCUAAACACGUGAAAUAUGGGAUAUGGCCUACUCAUUUCGUGUAAUUGGGUGAUGCUAUAAGCAAAACAAUGGCCAACUAUGAGUACUAACUGCAUCCUUUUUCCUACAGAAAACUAAUUAUUAUACUGGUGCGCAAAAAUAUUCUAGCAUCUUCAGUGAGAUUUAAAUGGGAAACAGAGGCUAGGGGAAUAUGAUUUGUUCAGUAAACAUGUGCACAGUUUCUUCUUGGAAAUGCAUUACACUUUAUGCAGCAAAUAAUCUAAAUAUUGAUGGUGAAUAAAAUGGAACAAAAUUUUGGAUAGAAACAAAUGACUGAAUGGUGGCAGAAAUUUCAGUACAUGGUAGAAGAUGUGCUAUACAGUUCAUACCUUGCGCAUAAAAGUAUUUGUGUAAUUGUGUUUAAUUUAUGAGCCAAUACCAGUCUUUUUAUGUUGAAACAUCAAACACCACAACACCAAACGUUUCUGGCCUCAUUUAUCUGUACAUGAAGAUAAACUGGAUCAUUCUUAUGGCACUAAGGCCACUUAACAUAUUUUCCAAUAUUAAUUCUUGAAAGUGAUACUAGGAAACCAUACUAUUAUUAUGCUGUGCUACUUGAACAUUGUGCCAAAGAAGUUAUGAUACUUCAUAUUUGCUAAAUCAGGUAUCCAAGCGGUCUUCUCGUGCUGGCAAAUAAGUUAGGGAAAACAUGCAGGGAACAAACUGUCAGGGAUGAAUUCCUGAAGGGAUGAAGAGAGGGUUGUGCUGGACAUCAGUAUACUUCCCUCGGGGUUUGUAGAUUUUAGCGACUUCUUAAGGGGGAUGAGUUAGAUUUUGGUGAGGGGAUUGUUCAAAAGAGAGGAUAGUAUAUUCUUGAGCUCCUGGAGGAUCGGACUAUUCAUAUCUGGAAGAUUUCUGUGGUGAAUAGAGUGAGGGCAGCAAAGAUGCGCAAACCAUAAUUGAGAGAGUUGGCACUCGGAUUAAUGGCUGCAAAGAGGAAGGGCUAAUUGGCUCUCAAUGCAUUUCACCGCUCCACCAGAAUCCCAACAUCUCCUCAUGACGGUAUUCGGCAACGGCGUUGGCCUCGGCUCCAUCUCCACUGCCUGCCUGCCUGCCUCUUCCAAAGAUGUAGCCGUUCGCAGUGGCGGUGGCCUCCCCUCACUGAAUCGUGGCUGGAGCACUCUGCCCGCGUGAUCUCUGUGGAUCGGGGCAGCAGCAUGCGCUCUGAAGACGUGCUGGUGAUGUCACCAACAGGCGCCGUCGCAUUCCAGAGCAGGGCGAGAAUAAGGUGCGAGGAGAUCUCGUUCCAGGCUGGGCGUCCUCGCCCAAAGUGUAUAUAUGCGCGUGUGCUGAAUUCUUUCACGUGCGAAUCAAGGAAAGAUUGAUGAGUAGUCAUCUUGUUUCGGUUGGAACUUGGAAAGUUGU